CCUACGGGAGGCAGCAGUGAGGAAUAUUGGUCAAUGGGCGCAAGCCUGAACCAGCCAAGUAGCGUGCAGGAUGACUGCCCUACGGGUUGUAAACUUCUUUUAUAAAGGAAUAAAGUGAGUUACGUGUGCCUUUUUGUAUGUACUUUAUGAAUAAGGACCGGCUAAAUCCGUGCCAGCAGCCGCGGUAAUACGGAGGAUCCGGGCGUUAUCCGGAUUUAUUGGGUUUAAAGGGAGCGUAGGUGGGAUGUUAAGUCCGUUGUGAAAAGUUGGGGCUCAACCCGGAAAUUGCAAUGGGUACUGGCAGGCUUGAGUACGAGUGAAGCAGGCGGAAUU
rnacentral:rRNA from 1 species